UUUCUGAGAGUUUGAUCCUAGCUCAGGAUGAACGCUGGCGACGUGGAUAAGGCAUGCAAGUCAAGGGGGCUAGCAAUAGCAACCGGCGAACGAGUUAGUAACACGUGGAUAUCAACCCAUUACACAGAGAUAACCCUGUGAAAACAGGGCUAAUAUCUGAUAGUCCCUCACGGGUAAAGGUACAUCUUCGGAUGGACCGGUAAUGGAUGAGUCUGCGGCCUAUCAGCUAGUUGGUAGGGUAACGGCCUACCAAGGCUAUGACGGGUAGGGGAUGUGAGAGCAUGUUCCCCAACGAUGGGACUGAGACACGGCCCAUACUCCUACGGGAGGCAGCAGUCGAGAAUAUUGGUCAAUGGGCGCAAGCCUGAACCAGCGACGUCGCGUGCAGGAAGAAGGCCUUCGGGUUGUAAACUGCUUUUCUGCUUGAAUAACCCUUCGGGGUGAAGGUAAAGCAGGAAUAAGCGGAGCCUAAUUCUGUGCCAGCAGGCGCGGUAAUUCAGAAUCCGCAAGCGUUAUCCGGAUUUAUUGGGCGUAAAGGGUCCGUAGGCGCCUUGCCGCAUCUUUUGUUAAAUUUUCAGAGCUCAACUUUGAAACUGCAAAAGAGAUGGGCGAGGUAGAGGGCGUUAGAGGCUGAUGGAACGGUCGGUGUAGGGGUGAAAUCCGUUGAUAUCGACCGGAACACCAAAAGCGAAGGCAUUCAGCUGGGGCGACCCUGACGCUGAGGGACGAAAGCGUGGGUAGCGA
rnacentral:rRNA from 1 species